GGACGAUUAGCUCAGUUGGCUAGAGCGUCUCAUUUACACUGAGAAGGUCUGGGGUUCAAGUCCCUAAUCGUCCA
rnacentral:tRNA from 1 species